rnacentral:rRNA from 1 species
GGAAUAUUGGACAAUGGGGGCAACCCUGAUCCAGCCAUGCCGCGUGUGUGAAGAAGGCUUUCGGGUUGUAAAGCACUUUCAGUGAGGAAGAAGGCCUUGGGCUUAAUACGUCCGAGGAAGGACAUCACUCACAGAAGACGCACCGGCUAACUCCGUGCCAGCAGCCGCGGUAAUACGGAGGGUGCGAGCGUUAAUCGGAAUUACUGGGCGUAAAGCGCACGUAGGCGGCUUUGCAAGUCGGGUGUGAAAUCCCCGGGCUCAACCUGGGAACUGCAUUCGAUACUGCAUUGCUCGAGUAUGGGAGAGGGAAGUGGAAUUUCCGGUGUAGCGGUGAAAUGCGUAGAUAUCGGAAGGAACACCAGUGGCGAAAGCGACUUCCUGGACCAAUACUGACGCUCAGGUGCGAAAGCGUGGGGAGCA